GCACCGUCCGACGGUUGCGGCGCUGGGUCUACGAAACCCGGUUGGCUGGUUCGACUCCAGCACGGUGUAC
rnacentral:tRNA from 1 species